CUUGAACACAAUUCUUAACCAAUACAUCUAACAACUUCACUCAUGACUCAAAAAUAAAGUUUAAAUGGGCAGAGGUAUAAACAUUUAAAAAUUAAACUAUGAGUAUAUAAACAAUUAGAACUUUUUUUAUAACUUCAGAGAAGGAAAAAAAAUCUUUCUAAGUGUGACUUGAAACACAGAAAACUAACAAAUUAAACUACAUAAAAUGCAAAAUUUUCUGCAUUACAAAAACUCAUCAUAAAGGUUGGGAAUAUGGCUCAGUUGGUAAAGUGCUUGUCUCACAUGCACAAGGCCCUGGGUUCAAUCCCCAGCACCACCAAAACAAAAACAAAACAAAGCAAAACAAAAAAAACAAAAAUAAGAACUCAUCAUAUACAUCAAAAGACAAACUGAGGACAAAAAAUGUAAUACAUAAAGAGCUAGUUUUCUUAAUAUUGAAAAGCAUUUAUAAAUCAAUGUGAUUUUUUCCCAAUAAUAAAUCUUUUGUCUAAUACCUGUGGGCAAAGGAUAGGAACAGAUAUUUCACAGAAAAGAAAAUAAAUACACUAAAAGGUGAUGUGCCUACCUCAAAACAAAUUUAUAAAUGUAUAAAAUACAAUUUUUUACUUCUAAAUUGACAAAGAUAAAAAAUUUUGGUAAUAUUUAGUGGACAAGUAUGGUACAAGAGCCAUCUCUAUACAAUUUUUGGUGAGAGUGAAAAUUUGUACAACUGGUGGACAAUAGGCAAUAUCAGCAUUGAAAAUACACACACCCUUUGAUCUGUCAAUUCAACCUUUAGGAAUUUCUCCUACAUCUGUACUCAUUGCUGUGACAAGACUUCUUCUACACAUGAGGUGCGUGUCAGCAUUAUUUUGUUGAACAAAAGAUUUCAAGUAAUGAAAUAUCCAAGAACACAAAAUUGAAGAUAAAUUGUGUUUUGUUCCACCAAAGAACACUAUGUAGGCAGUAAAGAAAGUUUAAAAAGAAAAUGUGUUCAUGUUGCUAAACAAAAAAACAAAAAAAGGGAAAAAC
rnacentral:lncRNA from 1 species